AAAUCCCUCAUUUUCAAAAUCCUUUGAAACCUAAGCCUUGAUGCAAUCGUUCUCUCUCAGCUGGAACCAUAGAUGCAAAAAAGUAGUAGUGCCUCUUCGUUUCUUUUCACUCUCUAUAUCUAUUUAAAGGUCUGCGAAGCAGUCGAUUCAUAGAGAUGAUGGCGACAACAAAGAACUGGAUCUGUAUGGGCUUCAUAACUCUAAAACGUCUACACACUCAAAACCCUAGAUCUGUCGCCUCCCUGGUACCACUACUACCUUUGUACCACCAUAAUUGACCGUCGUCUCCCUGAUACUCACUAGCAUCUAUGUCUCAAGGGUUGCACCCAUGGAAUAUUCAGAAACUAAUUGACACUCACUCUAUGUCAAUGUGAAGUCAAGGCUCUACUGCAUUCCUUCAUUUCAGCCUUGAUGAGAUGAAAAAUCCGUUUACUAGAUCAAAUUUUCUCAUUUUUGGAAGGUACUGUGAAGAGAUGUUUUUUUUAACCAAAAAAUCCAUUAUGAGAAUUUUCUUUACAACUUUGGUCUUUAAACCAUAUAGGAUGCUAAACUAAUACUUUGUGGAAGGUAAGUUUCUAUCUUUUGUUAUUACCAUUUUCUUUUUUUAA